rnacentral:rRNA from 1 species
AUGGUCAUGGUCAUGGAGGUGGUUGUGGCUCCGGCUCGCCGCGUCAUGGUCAUGGUCGCAGCUCUGGCCUGCCUCGUCGUGGUGAUCACGGCCCGGGGUCGCCGAGUCGGCCCCGAGAUGCGAACACACCUCGCAGGCCUGCUCGUCCACCUUCUCCUGCCCGUCGUCGCCGGCGCGCGCGCUCGCCUCAGGAGCCGCCGCGGCCCCAACCUCCACCUCGGCCACCCGGCUGGUGACCGGCUUGGCGAGGAACGUUGGUCGCUCGUCGCCGGCCAUGAUGACCACCACGUGCUCCUGGAAAUCCAUGGCCGGCCUGGCCGCGCCAGACGCCGAGCCCUUCUCCUCGUCCGCGUCCCCCGCGGCCUGGCCGUCCCGGUCACCGUCGAGGUACCCGGAGAGCUUCCAGUAGGAGCAGGCGAGGAUGAGCAGAGCCAAGGCGAUGAGCCCGAGCAUCGCCGCCAGCCCGCCGAACAGGUACGGCACCGGCGACUGCCACGUCGAGUGCGGCGGCGCCGUCCCGUUGAUCAGCCCAUGCGCCGGCGCCGCCGUCGGCGCUCCGGCGCGGUGGCUCGUGGUGAGGAACUGGGCCCCGGGCCUCAUGGUGUGUGUUGGUGUCUGUUGCACCUGAUGACUUUGUUGCUCUGUGUUUUCUCCUGCGUGUGUGCUUGUUUUUGUCUGAGGGGUGAGUGGGAAAUGGGGUGUAUUUAUAGGAGAGGAGGCCCUCCGGAGAAAAAUACUCACAAAACAUUUGAGUAUUUUCUAUUUGUCAUGCUGAGUAUAAUAUGA